GAUCAUGGCUCAGGAUGAACGCUAGCUACAGGCUUAACACAUGCAAGUCGAGGGGCAGCAUGGUCUUAGCUUGCUAAGACUGAUGGCGACCGGCGCACGGGUGAGUAACACGUAUCCAACCUGCCGUCUACUCUUGGACAGCCUUCUGAAAGGAAGAUUAAUACAAGAUGGCAUCAUGAGUCCGCAUGUUCAUAUGAUUAAAGGGUAUUCUGGUAGACG
rnacentral:rRNA from 1 species